CAGAAAGAGCCAAUCAGGGCGGGGCUGACUAAUUACAAAAGGCGGGAAAACACACAAAGACAGGAAGUAAAACGAGGCACAAGGCUCUCUGGCAUCUCCAAUCUGUGCAAAUACAACUUCUGCAUUGCUCCAUGAAUUAGAGUGAAGGGGGGUCAGCGUGGAUCCAGAGGCCUGACAGGUACAUAAGGUGGGGACGGAGUCUGCCUUCUGUCUGUUUACCAAACGCCCAGGGAUGGACUGUCUCGUGGGACUCUGGUGUAGUGUGGUCGUCGUCUUCAUUCGUAGAAAAAGCUGCAAACGUUUGUAUAAAAUACAGCAGUCCGAGCAGACAAAGACCUGGAUGGAUGUGAACGUUCGUAGCGCCCCACUACUUGAACAUCUCUGAGCUUUUCAGAAAACUCCCGACCUGCAGUAGCGAGGAGAACCUGCAGAAGAAGCCUCAGAGCUCGGACUGACUUUCUCUUCUUCCACUUCUCCGUCUCUUCUGUGCGUCAGAUCUCUGAUUGACACCGAGCCUCUGCAGGAUUGCAUUCCACUGAACGCUGUGGAACAUUCUGCUGCAGAUCUGCCGUUCCCAGGACGCAUCCCACCCUCAUCAGCUGGGCGUGUUGGGGGUAGUGGUGACCAUUUCGCAGUCCGGAGUGAGCAUGGCGACGAGCUCUCAGCACCCUCCGCUCCAUCUGUGAAGCCUCAGCGGGACGAGCCCAUGCCAGGCUUGGCGAAGCGGUUCUCACUCCUGAAGCUGGUUGAUGUCUCAGGAAACCGGGCAGCCAUUUUGGGGAUCGGCUCGGGGAUGAAGACGGGACGACGAAGUGAGCCUGGCUUUUAUCCUCAAUCUGGUCCAUGAGCUUGUUGAGGAAAUCCAACCUGAGGAGAAAACAGAUAUCAGCUUGGAGGUGAUGCAUAGACGGGAUGGAUUGUCACGUCCCUGACUCUGACAUUAAGCCAGCAGCUGUGGAUCCCAAAGCCACCAGAGGGGGGCAUUCACACACCAACUCAUCCACAUUCCUCGCUGCUCUUCAACAAUGCAGCUCCAAAGGCUUCCCUCACACAGUCAAACAUGUCGACUGUACUGCAUGUGUGUCAGAACGCCACUUAAGGGCUGGAAAAGUACAGGUGCCAUUCAGCGCCUCACAUGAUCAUUUACAAAUCUCAGUGCUGGUAUUUCUGGCCCGGCUGGGGGACAAACUGGUUUUCCCACCUUGGAAAUAACGAAACCUCUAUAAACAGUUACUCAUGUGACGUUGUGUGGACCGAGAGGUGGAGGAAGAAGAGAAUCAUCUUUGAAACGUUCAGAAAACUUUUCAUAUUCAUCGUUAAAUAUCACAUUUACUGUAGAUGUAAGAUGUAGAACGCACCCAAAACCUGCAUGACCUCAUGAUGAGUUUAAACUUUAACCUACUUUGUUCCUUUUGGAAGUAAGACUAUAAAGACAAUGACACUGUGAGCGUGCUACUGUUACAAUGUUCUCAUAGUAAACUGGGUCAUUUGAAUAUGAAACAGCCACGUCUGCUUAUCUCAAGGAGAGAGAAAGUGUUUUGUUGUAUCAGAGCCUUUAACCUUGCAGUCUAUCAUCCUCUAUCUGGCUACACAACAGCACUUUCACGUCUACACACACUUCUCCUGAUGUGAUGUAUGACACGGACUCAGUCCUGCCUCUCACUGAAGCUGCUUGACUCAAUAAAGUGAACAAAGAUUCAAUAAAAUAAGUUGGAGGAAAAAUGUGAGUUUUAGCCAUUUGUGUUCAGUCCUAAUGUCUGAAUAUUUAAAGCUCCACUGAAAAACUAGAAGCUUAAAAUAGCAAAAGACUUAUUUACACAUUAAAAGCUAAUAUCAUAAAAAGCAUGAUGAACACAUAUUUAAUAAUUAGAGCUCAUUUACAUUUACUAAUGGAUAUAACGCUGCGCUUUAACCGCCAACCGAGCAGGUCAAAGUAAGUGGCAUUUAAUAACAAUUAAAUGAACUGUACUGCGGCUCCAGGCGCGUUUAUCAUGCCUGUACCCCAUGAGUGAGUGUGUGUGUGUGUGCGCGUGUGUGUGUGUGUGUGUGUGGGGGGGGGUCCUCUUACCUGCUCGUGUCGGGACGAUCCUCAGCCGGCAGAGCCAGCAGCUGCUGGAGGGAAACCAGGCUGACGCAAUACACAGCAAGCGGGAGAAAGGACUGCAUCUCCGGGCCAACUUUACACCCUCUCUGGGAAGGUGGGGGCGACCACACGGACUGGGCGAAGUUUUAAUCCCAAGU